rnacentral:rRNA from 1 species
UGCGGUACGAUGAUCGACUUGGAGGUUGUGCCCUUGAGGCGCGGACUUCCGGAGCUAACGCGUUAAGUCGACCGCCUGGGGAGUACGGCUGCAAGGUUAAAACUCAAAUGAAUUGACGGGGGCCCGCACAAGCGGUGGAGCAUGUGGUUUAAUUCGAUGCAACGCGAAGAACCUUACCUGGUCUUGACAUCCACGGAAGUUUUCAGAGAUGAGAAUGUGCCUUCGGGAACCGUGAGACAGGUGCUGCAUGGCUGUCGUCAGCUCGUGUUGUGAAAUGUUGGGUUAAGUCCCGCAACGAGCGCAACCCUUAUCCUUUGUUGCCAGCGGUCCGGCCGGGAACUCAAAGGAGACUGCCAGUGAUAAACUGGAGGAAGGUGGGGAUGACGUCAAGUCAUCAUGGCCCUUACGACCAGGGCUACACACGUGCUACAAUGGCGCAUACAAAGAGAAGCGACCUCGCGAGAGCAAGCGGACCUCAUAAAGUGCGUCGUAGUCCGGAUUGGAGUCUGCAACUCGACUCCAUGAAGUCGGAAUCGCUAGUAAUCGUGGAUCAGAAUGCCACGGUGAAUACGUUCCCGGGCCUUGUACACACCGCCCGUCACACCAUGGGAGUGGGUUGCAAAAGAAGUAGGUAGCUUAACCUUCGGGAGGGCGCUUACCACUUUGUGAUUCAUGACUGGGGUGAAGUCGUAAAAGGGGAAAACAAAAAAA